rnacentral:rRNA from 1 species
CCUACGGGAGGCAGCAGUGGGGAAUUUUGGGCAAUGGGCGCAAGCCUGAUCCAGCCAUGCCGCGUGUGGGAAGAAGGCCUUCGGGUUGUAAACCACUUUUGUCAGGGAAGAAACGGCUUUUUCUAAUACAGAGAGCUAAUGACGGUACCUGAAGAAUAAGCACCGGCUAACUACGUGCCAGCAGCCGCGGUAAUACGUAGGGUGCAAGCGUUAAUCGGAAUUACUGGGCGUAAAGCGUGCGCAGGCGGCUUUGCAAGACAGAUGUGAAAUCCCCGGGCUCAACCUGGGAACUGCAUUUGUGACUGCAUGGCUAGAGUACGGUAGAGGGGGAUGGAAUUCCGCGUGUAGCAGUGAAAUGCGUAGAUAUGCGAGGAACACGA